rnacentral:rRNA from 1 species
GAUGAACGCUGGCGGCGUGCCUAAUACAUGCAAGUCGAGCGAACGGACGAGAAGCUUGCUUCUCUGAUGUUAGCGGCGGACGGGUGAGUAACACGUGUAUAACCUACCUAUAAGACUGGGAUAACUUCGGGAAACCGGAGCUAAUACCGGAUAAUAUUUUGAACCGCAUGGUUCAAAAGUGAAAGACGGUCUUGCUGUCACUUAUAGAUGGUUCCGCGCUGCAUUAGCUAGUUGGUAAGGUAACGGCUUACCAAGGCAACGAUGCAUAGCCGACCUGAGAGGGUGAUCGGCCACACUGGAACUGAGACACGGUCCAGACUCCUACGGGAGGCAGCAGUAGGGAAUCUUACGCAAAGGGCGAAAGCCUGACGGAGCAACGCCGCGUGAGUGAUGAAGGCCUUCGGAUCGUAAAGCUCUGUUAUUGGGGAAGAACAUAUGUGUAAGUAAAUGUGCACAGAUUGACGGUACCUAAUCAGAAAGCAACGGCUAACUACGUG